GCAGGCUGCCCGGCGCGGUGUUUACCCGCGGUGCAUGGUGGGGCAGUUUCCUCCGGCAACCUCGGCCCAACGGCCGCCCAGAGGCUGUGCUGAGCUGGCACAGCGACAGCAGCAUGAACUGGACCCUCGCAUCGUCCGUGCCUCUGUCGAGUCCCGACUACUACGAGAGGCUGGGCCAACUCCAGCAUGGGCUGCGGGACAGUGAAAAGAAGAGAUUGGACCUGGAAAAGAAACUUUAUGAAUAUAAUCAGUCUGAUACAUGCAGAGUUAAGCUGAAAUAUGUAAAACUAAAGAAUUAUCUGAAGGAAAUAUGUGAAUCUGAAAAGAAGGCUCGUACUCGAAACCAAGAAUAUUUAAAGCGAUUUGAGCGUGUCCAAGCUCAUGUUGUACACUUCACCACAAAUACAGAGAAGCUUCAAAAACUGAAGCUUGAAUAUGAGACUCAAAUUAAGAAGAUGCUACGCUCAAAAGAUAGUCUGGGACUAAAAGGUGAACUGAAAGAUGAAGACAGAGAAAAGGUUGCAGUGCAGGAGGGAAUUAACUCAGGAACAGCCAUGUCAAGAGGAUUGUAUCAACCAGCAACAAUCUUUAUGGGCCACCAAAUGUCAGCCAUCUCAAGCAUGGGAGAUUUCAGUACAGAGCACAAAUCUCCCCAGCCCACAAAGAACUUUUCAAUUCCUGACCCACAUUCACACCGACAGACAGCCCAGAGAAGUAAUGUGACAGACAGCUGUGUAGUACAAACUAGUAAUGACACACAGUGCUUAAAUAAGUCUGACAACAUAGAUGGAAAGGCAUCUCUUCAGAUUGGUGAGAAAACGCCAGUCACAGCCAGUGUAUUGUCUGAGGAGGAACAAACUCAUUGCUUGGAGAUAGGAAGUAACACACGUCAUGGCAAGAGUAAUUUAUCUGAAGGCAAAAAGUCUGCUGAACUCAAUUCCCCGUUACAGGAAAGAUUAAGUCCAGAGAACAGAACCACUGAUUUAAAGUGUGACAGUUCCAGCAGAUCAGAGGGAUCAGAGGGAGAAAUACUGACACGGGAACAUAUUGAAGUUGAGGAAAAAAGAGCCAGCCCGCCAGUCUCUCCGAUAUCAGUUUCAGAAUACUGUGAAUCUGAAAAUAAGUGGUCUCAAGAGAAGCAUUCUCCUUGGCAAGGUGUUUCAGAUAAUCUUGCUCACGGGGACCCAAAGUCACAAAAGCCCUUCAGAAAAAAGCAGGAAGAGGAGGAGGAGGAAAGUUGGAGCACCAGCAGUGACCUCACUGUUUCAAUAAGUGAAGAUGACCUGUUUUUAAAGAGCCCAGAACCACAGCCAAAUCCAGGUGGCAAGGUGGAGGGAGAAGAUGGAAUAGAGGCCUUAAAAUUAAUCCAUGCUGAGCAAGAAAGAGAUGCCCUAUCCACUGAAAAAAAUAAUUGUAUUUUGCAAACCCUAAGCUCUCCUGAUUCAGAAAAGGAAUCCUCCACUCACGCACUAACUAGAGAACCUGGACAAGCACCAGACUCAGGCGUACCGAGGGCACUGGUGGGUCAGCAUGUUGCCACCUUGAAAGAACAUGAUAAUUCUCUCAAAGAAGAGGCAACAGCAUUAUUGAGAAAAGCCCCUACAGAAGAGUGUGGCCAUAGGUCAGCUAUUCACAGUAGUGAAUCAUCUUGCAGCUUGCCGUCUAUUCUGAAUGACAAUAGUGGAAUAAAGGAAGCCAAAUCUGCUGUAUGGCUCAACAGCGUUCCUACAAGGGAACAAGAAGUUUCAAAUGGCUGUGGAGACAAGAGCAAGAAAGAAAACAUGGCUGCAGAUAUCCCAAUCACAGAAACAGAAGCCUACCAGUUGCUGAAGAAGGCUACCCUUCAGGAUAAUACAAAUCAAACUGAAAACAGGUUUCAAAAGGCAGAUGCUUCUGUGUCACACUUGUCAGGUUUGAAUAUUGGCAGCGGUGCAUUCGAGACAAAGACAGCUAACAAAAUUGCGUCGGAAGCUAGUUUUUCAUCUAGUGAAGGAAGUCCUUUGUCAAGCUUGCCUGAAAGCACUAAAGCUUCAUGCAUCAGUGUCUUCCAGAAGACUGUUGAGGGAAACCGGUCCUCUGCCUCAGGGGCCCAUGCGAUCAUCCUCCCCCAAGAACACAUGGCCCUACACAGGCACAGCUCAGCAGCGCGGGGUGGGCCAUGCAGACCUGCUGAGGGGACACACCCAGGACGGGAGCAAUGCUGUUGAGUAGCGACCCUCCCAGCAAGGCCACGCUGCAUCCCGAUAUUUUCCCUUUACUUUUAAACUCUGGGAAGCAUGAAAACAAAAAGAAACCCAUGAUCAAGUUAAAAUCUAAUG